rnacentral:tmRNA from 1 species
AUCAUUGACAUCAAAAUUAUCCGAAGUAUAAUGAACUGCGCUCGAGAGAGCUAUGAUAAUAAGUUGUGUACGUAAUAAAUGUUUUGGACCCGGGGGCGGUGCCCGGCAUUUCCACCAAACUUUAUGGGAAUGAAAUAGAUUUGACAUCCAUUAAAAGGUGCACAUUUUGUCCAGCGAGAUACUGCUGUCCUAAAAGGAGAAAAGUUCAAAAAUUGUAAAUGCAAACGAAAAUUUUGCUGGUGUUGCUUUAGCUGCGUAGUCGUAAGACUCUUUUCUUGACAGAAAUGUACUUGCUUUUAGCAUUUAGUUAGGCAACAGGGGAUUGGGGGUGCCUAUCAACAGAAGUCCCCCGCG